AUUGAACGCUGGCGGCAUGCCUAAUACAUGCAAGUCGAACGAGUGGCGGACGGGAGAGUAAUGCUUGGAAACCUAGCUUAUGGAUGGGGAACACUACGGGAAACUGUAGCAAAUACCGCGUACCAUAGGAUGAUCCCAAGUGGGCUUAGGUAGUUGGUGAGGUAAAGGCUCACCAAGCCGACGAGCCCUAGCCGGUCUGAGAGGAGGAACGGCCACACUGGGACUGAGCCACGGCCCAGACUCCUACGGGAGGCAGCAGUGGGGAAUCUUGCGCAAUGGGGGCAACCUGACGCAGCCAUGCCGCGUGAAUGAAGAAGGCCUUCGGGUUGUAAAGUUCUUUCGGUAGCGAGGCGUUAACUACAGAAGAAGCACCGGCUAACUCCGUGCCAGCAGCCGCGGUAAUUC
rnacentral:rRNA from 1 species